UACGUAGGGAGCAAGCGUUGUCCGGAAUCAUUGGGCGUAAAGCGCGUGUAGGCGGCUCGGUAAGUCCGCUGUGAAAGUCGGGGGGCUCAACCCUCGAAAGCCGGUGGAUACUGUCGGGCUAGAGUGCGGAAGAGGCGAGUGGAAUUCCUGGUGUAGCGGUGAAAUGCGCAGAUAUCAGGAGGAACACCAAUUGCGAAGGCAGCUCGCUGGGACGUUACUGACGCUGAGACGCGAAAGCGUGGGGAGCAAACAGG
rnacentral:rRNA from 1 species